UUACAUUUUUAGCCAUUAAAUGUAAUUGGCAAUCUGGCAUAUAAUUUCACUUAGCCAAAUGUGAUGACGUGGGUCGAAACUGCUGUCCAUUUUGUCGAAAUGUCGGCCAUUGUUAGCUGUACGUCUCAUCUCGUGCAGAAACACUUCAGAGCUAGUAAAGUUUUACUUUUAUUAGUUGAUUUUCAGGUCAGAAAUGGAGAUCUCCCUUUGCUCAACUGUUGCAGAAAUUUAAAACACGACAAAGUCUGAGCUUUAUUGAUGCUGCCGGCUGUAGUAUCAUUGAUGUGGUUUUGUUGCAGCCAGUUGGUGAAAGGUGUGAUCGAGUCAUGGUUGAGUUGCAGCUUCUGCAUGCAGUUUAUCGAGCUGGUGCUAUCCCAAGUGUAACUGCAGGAAAACUUCUUGAAUUGUUGAUCGCUACAGAUUUAGUUAAUGACUAGAGAGUAGACCCCUUUGCUUCUCUGUUGCAAUUAUGAGUUAAGACCAUUAUGGAAAUGUGGAUUACAUUUGUUAUUUUCAAGUUGGAAAACUUGACAACUACAAAUUCCUUUGUAAGAUUUAUCAAGUGAGGUGAAGUCUGUGCUUCUUUGUUGCAGUCUAAUGUGCGCAUGGAUUCGUUGCAGUCAUCCAGUGAAAGGUGUGAAUUAAUUGAGCUGUUGCAUGCAGUCUUUGGUGCUGAUGUUGUCCUGGAGUGUGGGAGAGUCCCAUGCUUCAAGUCUUCUGGGAUCAGCCAUAUCUGAGUUGACGCUGAAUCAUGCUGCAUUGUGGUUGCCGAAAUGUUGGACAUCUGGUAGAACUGCAAGAAGACUCAUUGAAAUGGUUUAUGUUUACGUAGCAGUGAUGUUGCUGUCCAAUAUGGCUUGUUGUUGCAGCCUAUACUGGUGAAAGAUUUUUUGCAUCGAGUUAUGCUGUUGCAGUUUCUUGGUGCCGGACUGCUGGUGUUGUGCAUAAAAGUUACAUCCAGUUUAAUUCUUAUUUGUGUCUAUGCAGUUAACCGUUUAUAUGUUGAAAAGGAACAGAAAAGUUCCUUGGUGUUGAAUCGCUGGUGUUGUGCUACAUAAGUUACAUCCAGUAUUUUGUUUGAUUGCUAUUUGCGUCUAUGAAGUUAACCGUUUAUAUGUUGAGAAUGAAAAAAAAUAGUAAUACGGGGAAUUUUUACGUUGAACAAAUAAUAAACAUGCCUUCGCGAUUGGGAAAUCAGCGAGGAGGAGAUUGGGGGGGGGGGGCAAUUGAUUUUCAUUAACUAGAAGAAGUCGUGGUUUGUUUUAAUAAGGUAGAAAAAAAAUCCUUCGUCUAUCACAUCUAUAUAACCACAUCUAUUCCUCAAACCCCAUAACUUCCACCAACAUCUAUUCCUAAAACCCCCAUUUCCCCACAAAAAUAUGUAAAUGUUAUUGUUGAAUAAAUAAACCAACUCUAUAAUAUG